UUUCCAGACUCCUACGGGAGGCAGCAGUGAGGAAUAUUGGUCAAUGGGCGGAAGCCUGAACCAGCCAAGUCGCGUGAGGGAAGAAGGCCCUGCGGGUCGCAGACCUCUUUGGACGGGGAGCAAGGCCGCCGACGUGUCGGCGGAAGGAGAGUACCCGUAGAACAAGCAUCGGCUAACUCCGUGCCAGCAGCCGCGGUAAUACGUAGGGGGCAAGCGUUAUCCGGAUUUACUGGGUGUAAAGGGAGCGUAGACGGCUGUGCAAGUCAGAAGUGAAAGCCCGGGGCUCAACCGCGGGACUGCUUUUGAAACUGUGUAGCUGGAGUGCAGGAGAGGUAAGUGGAAUUCCUAGUGUAGCGGUGAAAUGCUUAGAUAUCACGAAGAACUCCGAUUGCGAAGGCAGCCUGCUGGACUGUAACUGACGCUGAUGCUCGAAAGUGUGGGUAUCAAACAGGAUUAGAUACCCCUGUA
rnacentral:rRNA from 1 species